UGCCUUUUGUGUUGCCCGUUCACUUUGGACACUAGUGAAUGUGGUGUCAAAAAAGGCAGAAAUGAAAUACUUUGCAGCCUUUUCUCUUGCCUUGGAAUUGUUCCAUUCAUGAGUGUGCUGUAUAAGUAACAAGU
ensembl:snoRNA SNORA13 small nucleolar RNA, H/ACA box 13